AGACAGGUUCUGGCCGGUUGUUAUCCGUGCUGUUUGUUCCUCUACCUGUGGCUGCUGUGGAGUUUUCUUGCCUGUUGAGGCUCUGGGCCUCAGCUAUACCUGACCAUUUGGACCAAAGGAACACGGUGAUGGAUUCUGAAUUUUCGAGACUAUAAAACGGCUACCCCGAUUUCCCUCUAAUCUGAAUUCUGGGGCCUCAGAAAUAACAGGUCUAUAGAGAAGGGAAUCCAUACCUCACACAGUUAGAUGCCUGUCAUGGUGCUGGAGGAUGGAAUCCAGGGUUAACCACCGAGGAAAAAAAUGAGAAAUGCCGGGGAAGACAUUGUUGAGUCAGCGAGAAGUCUGUGGAGAACAAGGAGGCUCCAAACACUGAGCUUCCCUCUUCACACCAAUUGAGAAUGAGCUAAUCGCAUCAGAUAGUGAAGGUCAAGGUUCCACCAAUGGGCUCAUGAAGGUUUCUAAAAUUAUCUGGAAAGGAGCGCGUUGAAAGAGGAAGUGGAGGGACAGCCAACCAGAACCUUACCAGACGCGAAGUCUAGAGCUGACCUUAGUCAUCAUUCAGCAUGAGCAAUGGAGAAGAGGACAGAGGCCUGCCAUCUGAGAAAAUCUCAAGACCGCUCAUUCACACCUCCAUCUUUGAGGAGAGGAGCUUGUGUCCCAGAGAGCUCAAAACAACGCUGCAGCAGAGUAUUAUCAUGGCCUGUCCGUCAAAGGGGCAAAGAGACUCAUAAGGAGAACUCUACAUUCAUUUGUCCAUGUGCUCUCAGGCUGUGCUAAAUGCCUAGAACAGGAUACAAACAAUAGGAACUAGAUUAAUUUAGCAGACUGCUUGGGUCCACAGAGUCAACGAAGCCAUCUUCAAGAACUUUGCAGAGAUGUCCAUACCCCACUCUGGAUUAAGAUUCAAGGCCCUUGGCUUAAUUCACCAAGACCCUUUUCUCACUUCAAAGAAAUUCUCAGAAGGAAGAGAGGAAGAGCCAGAGUCAUGAAAGGAAUUAAGGGUCAUGUGUAUCCCAGUUUGGUCUCAGAUUUGCUACGGAACCAAGGUUGACCUUGACCUUAUGACCUGUCAGCCUGCUGAAUGCUGGGAUUGCAGGCGAGUCACACCAUGUCAAAUUCCAUAGUGCUGGAGCUCAAGCUUAGUGCUUUGUGCAUGGUUGGCAAGCAGUCUACUAACUAAGCUAAGGCUCUAGCCCCAUAUUUGAAGGUUUUAGGUGCAUUGGACAAGGAGGCGUGGGAGCAUCAGGAAGGACCAUGACCAUACGAGACCAGAAUGGAGGACCUACCAGGCCACCCUGAGCCCCCAGCCACCAGAGAAUCCUGACGUCUGCCCUCUUCCUUGUUGAUGAUGUUCCCACAGAAGGGUUGGUUUUCCAAAGGGAGGAAUUGAGGAGCUUCAGUUCAUCAUCUCUAAUAAUGAACAUUUCUGUUGGUUUAUCAAAUUUCUGGGAAACACAGGACACGGCGUAUGUGUGGAUGACACAUUUUUGUUUGUUUUAAUAUUUGGACUUGGAUAUUUUUUCUGAGCACAUUUGUAAAAGGUCUGUUAGAAGGACUUUUCUUUCCAUUAAUAAUUUUAGGAAGUGAAGCAUAUAGUAAAAUUGGUGACCAACAGAUCCCUAAGUGUUGCAUAAAUAAUCCAGGAAACUGCAAAAUGGUCUUAUGUAAAGUCACUCCACAAAUGCAUGUUUAAUUAGCACCUACUAAUGUAACAGAUGCGUUAGAAAUAAGUUAGGGUGACCUGUACUAUUCUGAACAAUACAGUAUCAGCUCGGAGGGGCCAAGGGCUGCAACAUAACCUGUUUUUAAUUGAGCAACUUGUCACCCAACAAAAUAAGAGACAGCUUGUGUUUUAUAUGUUUCUGUACUGCAUCAUUAUCCAACAAUAAAUGCAA
rnacentral:lncRNA from 1 species